AUCACCCCAUCUGUCCAUCCAUUCCUUUCUCCUUUGUUCUGUCUGUCCAUCCUUCCAUCCAUCUGUCCAUUCAUCCAGCUGUUCAUCUGUCCAUUGAUCUGUCCAUCCAUCCAUUCAUAAGUCUGUCCAUCUGUCCAUCUGUCCAUUGGCCUGUCCAUCCACCCAUCCAACCUAUUGACAACUAUGAGAUCACAGUCCUACCUCUGUUUUCAAACCAACACCACAGGGCACAUCUGGUUUUCUCUCUGUGUGGUUGUAAGCCCUUUUUUUCUGAAUGGUUCCCAUUCUCCUUCGUCUGUGCUCUCACUUGAUUAGUUUUCUUGUAAAUACUCCUCUCCCAUCGCCGUUGCCACCCCCUCCCCACAGAGAUGCCCUUCUUACCCCGCAGGGGCGCCCUUUGGAUGCCUUCCAACUGCAAACCUCCAGGAAAGAGCUUUCUAGGUGGAGAGAUGGUACUGUCAGCCCUUUAAAAUUAGGAAUAGCAAAAUUGGAACCUGGCCAGCUCAUUACAACCAAAUAAGUUAAAAAAAGUAAACAUUAGAAGAAAUGUUUCUCUUUAUUCACAAAUAACAUGAUUGUCCAUAGAGAAAGGCUAAAAUUAUUAAACAGUAAGAAUUCAGCAAAAUGGCUUGCUAUAAGAUUAAUACACUGAAAUCAAUCGCUUUUCUAAACAUGAGCAGCAAAGUCUGAUAAGUUUCUUUUAAAAGAUACCAAAAAAAGUACUAUUUGCAUGAGAGUAAAAUCUUCAAGGUCCUUAAAGAUACAUUGAGCAAGAGAUGUUCAAGGCCAAUAUACAGAAAACUAAAAUGUCAUUCAAGUCCAGGAUUGUGGACUUGAGGGGAGCAUGCUGGGUAUCCAGUUGCCGCAUGGUGGCCUCGGACACUCUGUGCUUACCCGCUCGUGGCUCUGUAGGCCUGGCUUCGCUGGGCCCUCUUCACGGCAGGGCUGGGGCUUGCUCCACCUGGGUUCUCUGGGAAGAGCCCUCGCCUAUGCUUAUUCACGUCAUCAGCCGAAUUCUGUUUCCGAGGCGAAAGGGCUGAGGCUGUAGGUAAUAGCACUUGACAUGACCCCAUGUCCUUGUGGACUGUCCACGGAGGGCCGCUCUUAGGAACUGGAGGCUGCCUGUGUUCCCUGCCACGCGGCCCCCAAUCCUCAGUCAGCAACGGAGGACCUGCUGCAGAUCCCCAGGACGAGCCCUGACCUCUUACAGACUCACCUGGUUAGGUCAGGCCCACCAGGAUACUCACCCUUUCUUGAAGUCAGCUGUGUCGUCGAUUGGCACCCAACCCCAGGAGUGACUGUGGCAUCAUAGUCAUGGGUCCACCCACACCCGGUGGGAGGAGUGUAUACAAGGGUGAGGGUCACUGGGGGUCAUCUCAGAAUUCUGCCUACCACGGUUGUGCUGGGUCAUGGCCAGAAAGUUUAUAGUGUAAACAUGUCCGUCUUCUCCCAAUUAGUCCAUAGAUCUGUUAAAAUUCUAACAUAAUGCUGAUUUCUUCGACAAAGUUUGAUCAGCUGAUUGAAGAAUUUACAUGAAGCUUACAUGCAAAGGUAGCCGUGUCACUUCUAUAGGACACUAUGGUUGAGGACUGCGUUCUGCCGGCGUUCUGGACUCACGGUGAAGCUACGGUGACCAGGACGGCCUGACCCCGGUGCAGGGGCCAAUGGAGGGAUGGAAUGAAGAGCGCAGAAAUGCCAGCAGCGAGGGGCUGGGGCAGCUGGGAGGCCCCGUGCACCCCCGGGGGCCAGAGGGGCCUCGGUCCGCGUCCGCGUGGACUUUCUGCCGGGCGCCCGGCAGGUGCAGAGCCGUGGUGGCCGUGGCCGAGCUGGCAGCUGGAUGGGGUCCAGGACCUGGGCCGGGUCUGUCGCCGGGACCUGGGAGUGGGGUCUCAGCGAGCAGUUUGGGGCCUUUCAUGUGGUCUCGUCCGCUCGGCACAGCAGGGAGGAAUCUUGUCUUUCACCUAAAUAGCCGGGUUUGGUUUUCUGCCUCAGAGAUAAUUGGUGGUUCUUACUACUAAAAGGUUAGAACAAUUCAUUGUUUUUCUAAAAAAAAAAAAAAAAAAGUGGAAGGCAGGCACACCGCACUGCUCUUAAAAAUUGAAGAAGGGGGCGUGGGGCUCCACAAUGCCCCUCACAUCAAAGUGGCAAGCAGACGCCACGGGCAGGGUGCGGGCAGCCCAACCCCAGCCCGCUGAUCGCACCGGGGGCCCCAGCCAUUCUGGUAACACAAUUGGAGCCGCACCAGGGCGGCAGGCCCACACCUUUCAGGGACCUGGGCAGCUUGGCUGUUGCCCUGGGUUUGACAGCAGUUGGCUAAUCCGCAUCCGGGCCCCGGCAACACCUGUCGCCAGGUGAGCCAGACCCGCCUUACCCGCCUCCCUGGCCUUUCCUUUUCUCAGCUAAUGGGCAGGUGGACGGGGGCCCACUAGCACUGGGCUCGGUGGCGGAAGAGACCAUCCCGUAGCUGGAGGCAUGGGGCCAGCAGCUCUCAGAAUCCCCUGGAGGAGGCUUGUUCUAAUAGCGUGGGACACAGCCCAGGCGAUCUGAUUUGGGUGACUUGGGGUGGGGGGGGCUACGAACCUGCCGUUCUGAUACGUUCCUAGGGGAUGCUGCUGUGGGCCCAGAGACCAGGGCUGGAGAACAGACGGCUCAGGCAGAGUUAGCUUUUCUCCCUCCUGUUUGCUUGCUUUCCCCAUGGUUGCUGUUGGUGAAUUGUACAAUACUUUGCGGGGGCAGUUAUAGAAAGGACCCCUUUCUGAGUGGUCCCUUCUGGGCAGAGGAGUCAGGAAAGUUGCUGGCUUCUCUCCGGGCAGGCAGACUCCAGGCAGCAGUUGUCCUCCCUGCCGUCCCACCCCCUUUUCUGUUGCAUGGGUUCUGGGUCUGUGCGCAAACUGCACAACUGGACAUGGAGAACCUGGCUGGACCCCAAGCCAGAUGAGAGCCCUGCGCAGGCUUGGGGGAGUGGGUGUGGCGGGCAGGGACACCAACAAGGGCCCUGGUCCUGCCUCCAUGGGGGUCCCACCACCCUCCCCUAGCAACAUGACCCUACACUCGCUCUCCUUGCUGCUUCCUCGCCUGGUGGGGCAGUGGGUGUUUUCGUUCCUUCCUCUGCCAGGCACGGAUGUAAAGUGAGAUGAAAACAGAGAAGGCUGGGGCCAGGAGCAGGAGGGAGAGGCUGCACGUAUGCCCAGGGAGGACCCAUUCCUGCUGCCGGCCAGCGCGGGGCUCCCCGGCAGCCUUUAGGACAAAGGGAACAGGUUUCGGCCAGAGGAGGCCCCGGGCCGCUGGUUGGUGGGAGGCCCGGCUGGGUGGGGCUGGGACCCACAGCCUCGCUGUUGUCAUCCUGUUUCCAGGUCUCGUUGUGGGGGCCCCACGAUUGGAAAGGAGGUGGGGGGCUGCUGGCCCUGAGGGAGCUGAUGUGCUGACCCCAGUGCCUUUUCGAACCUCAGACCUGUGGUUCCAUCUCGGAGCUCCUUGAGCCCGUGCCGACAGGCGGCAAGGCGGAGUGUGCACCCAAAGCUGUCAUGAAAGCAGGUUCCCUCAGCCCUUCUGCUGUGCCAGGCUCGACAGAACCUUGGUUUUUAUCUGACAGGGCUGACGCACACCUUGCUCAGCACACAGCACGCGGUCCAGUCCGGCUCCCCGGCUUUCACGGCUGCCCCAGUUCGGAACAUGGAAGCACAGCGUACUCUGCUGGUAUGACGCUUGCUGCUGGAGACCCUUCAGACCCGUCUCCACACAGCUCCAUCACAGUGUCCUCUCGCCCCCGGCGUGACCCGCCUCUGGUCCCGGGAAGCCUCUGGCGGUCCUUGCCCCAUGGACUGGAGGCUGGGGUUGCUGCCCUGCUGUGCUGGCCUCGGUCACUGUCCCCAGCAGCCCUCGAGGUGACCCCGAGCCCGGCACGGCACGUCGUGUUGGCAGCUGGGGGGGCUGCACCACGGUGGUGAAAGCCCUACCCCUUCCCCCUCUGGGCACUUUCCGUCUCCUGGGAGUGAGAGGGCUUCCGCGUGGGGGGCUGGUUUUUAUCCGUUUCCUUGGUCACUUCUCUUCACGUCGGAAGGGCUCCAUCUUGGGAUGUCACGCCUCUUGUGUUCAGGCGGAAGGUCACUGGUAGCAUCCCGCUGCCGUGUGUUUGCUCGAACCUGUUGAUCUUUCCUCUCGAUGGCGCCAGCGUGGGUGGUUUGUCCCUUUGACUGCGUUGCGGUAUUUCAGACUCUCCUGCAAUGACUUCUACACUGAGAAAGGUGUUUAAGGGAAGAACAGGACGUCUACCAUGUGCCCCCAUAUGCCCUGGCAGGAAGUGGAUUGUGGGAAAAGUUGGCACGAGCUGCUUUAAAAUAACCCGGAAAGUUCUUGAUUGGACAGACGGUUGACAUUUGUCACCCUUGUGAUGCCAGGGGUCCUCGGGCAGCUGCCGAAUCUGUGGCCCCUUCUUAGAGAAAGGUCUUCGAGCUGUAACCUAAAACAUGUGGAAAUACAAGGAGAAUAAUUAUAUUGAAAAACUGCUAACACAAUAUUAAUAAAUCCAAAUGUGGGACAGAGGAGAUCCACAACCUGCCCCCAGUUUAAAGCAACAUUUUGAGAUGUGGGCACAGGUGGCCACGUGAUAGGAAGGCAGCUGUGAUUUCUGCUCAGGAAGGGCAGGAGGUCUCCUCGAUCCCUGGUUCGU